rnacentral:rRNA from 1 species
GUCCACGCCCUAAACGAUGAUGACUAGUUGUUGGAGGAGUUAAAUCCUUUAGUAACGCAGCUAACGCGAGAAGUCAUCCGCCUGGGGAGUACGGUCGCAAGAUUAAAACUCAAAGGAAUUGACGGGGGCCCGCACAAGCGGUGGAUGAUGUGGUUUAAUUCGACGCAACGCGAAAACCUUACCUACCCUUGACAUGUACGGAACUUCACAGAGAUGUGGAGGUGCCCGAAAGGGAGCCGUAACACAGGUGCUGCAUGGCUGUCGU